rnacentral:rRNA from 1 species
CCUACGGGAGGCAGCAGUGGGGAAUUUUGGACAAUGGGCGCAAGCCUGAUCCAGCAAUGCCGCGUGAGUGAAGAAGGCCUUCGGGUUGUAAAGCUCUUUUGUCAGGGAAGAAACGGUGGGAGCUAAUAUCUCCUACUAAUGACGGUACCUGAAGAAUAAGCACCGGCUAACUACGUGCCAGCAGCCGCGGUAAUACGUAGGGUGCAAGCGUUAAUCGGAAUUACUGGGCGUAAAGCGUGCGCAGGCGGUUUUGUAAGUCUGUCGUGAAAGCCCCGGGCUCAACCUGGGAAUUGCGAUGGAGACUGCAAGGCUUGAAUCUGGCAGAGGGGGGUAGAAUUCCACGUGUAGCAGUGAAAUGCGUAGAGAUGUGGAGGAACACCGAUGGCGAAGGCAGCCCCCUGGGUCAAGAUUGACGCUCAUGCACGAAAGCGUGGGGAGCAAACAGGAUUAGAUACCCUGGUAGUCCACGCCCUAAACGAUGUCUACUAGUUGUCGGGUUUUAAUUAACUUGGUAACGCAGCUAACGCGUGAAGUAGACCGCCUGGGGAGUACGGUCGCAAGNUUAAAACUCAAAGGAAUUGAGGCUGAAGAGNGCGAGACGACGACGAGGGAGGAGG